GAUGAACGCUGGCGGCGUGCCUAAUACAUGCAAGUCGAGCGAACAGACGAGGAGCUUGCUCCUUUGACGUUAGCGGCGGACGGGUGAGUAACACGUAGGUAACCUACCGAUAAGACUGGGAUAACUUCGGGAAACCGGAGCUAAUACCGGAUAAUAUUUCGAACCGCAUGGUUCGAUAGUGAAAGAUGGCUUUGCUAUCACUUAUAGAUGGACCUGCGCCGUAUUAGCUAGUUGGUAAGGUAACGGCUUACCAAGGCAACGAUACGUAGCCGACCUGAGAGGGUGAUCGGCCACACUGGAACUGAGACACGGUCCAGACUCCUACGGGAGGCAGCAGUAGGGAAUCUUCCGCAAUGGGCGAAAGCCUGACGGAGCCACGCCGCGUGAGUGAUGAAGGUCUUCGGAUCGUAAAACUCUGUUAUUAGGGAAGAACAAACGUGUAAGUAACUGUGCACGUCUUGACGGUACCUAAUCAGAAAGCCACGGCUAACUACGUG
rnacentral:rRNA from 1 species